GAUGAAUGCUGGCGGCGUGCUUAACACAUGCAAGUCGAACGAAGCACUUUAUUUGAUUUCCUUCGGGACUGAUUAUUUUGUGACUGAGUGGCGGACGGGUGAGUAACGCGUGGGUAACCUGCCUUGUACAGGGGGAUAACAGUUGGAAACGGCUGCUAAUACCGCAUAAGCGCACAGCAUCGCAUGAUGCAGUGUGAAAAACUCCGGUGGUAUAAGAUGGACCCGCGUUGGAUUAGCUAGUUGGUGAGGUAACGGCCCACCAAGGCGACGAUCCAUAGCCGACCUGAGAGGGUGACCGGCCACAUUGGGACUGAGACACGGCCCAAACUCCUACGGGAAGCAGCAGUGGGGAAUAUUGCACAAUGGGCGAAAGCCUGAUGCAGCGACGCCGCGUGAGCGAAGAAGUAUUUCGGUAUGUAAAGCUCUAUCAGCAGGGAAGAUAAUGACGGUACCUGACUAAGAAGCACCGGCUAAAUACGUG
rnacentral:rRNA from 1 species